GACGAACGCUGGCGGCGUGCUUAACACAUGCAAGUCGAACGGAAAGGCCCUGCUUUUGUGGGUUGCUCGAGUGGCGAACGCGUGAGUAACACGUGAGUAACCUGCCCUUGACUUUGUGAUAACUUCAGGAAACUGGGGCUCAUACCGGAUAUGAUCUCCUGCUGCAUGGUGGUGGUUGGAAAGUUUCGGCGGUUGGGGAUGGACUCGCGGCUUAUCAGCUUGUUGGUGGGGUAGUUGCUUACCAAGGCUUUGACGGGUAGCCUGCCUGAGAGGGUGACCGGCCACAAGGGGACUGAGAGACGGCGCAGACGCCUACGGGAGGCAGCAGUGGGGAAUAUUGCAGAAUGGGCGGGAGCCAGAGGCAGAAACGCCGAGUGCGGGAUGACGGCCUUAGGGUUGUAAACAGAUUUCGCAGGUGACGAAGAGUGAGUGACGGUAAUGGGUAAAGAAGCACCGGCUAACUACGUG
rnacentral:rRNA from 1 species